rnacentral:rRNA from 1 species
AUUGAACGCUGGCGGCAGGCCUAACACAUGCAAGUCGAACGGUAGCACAGAGGAACUUGCUCCUUGGGUGACGAGUGGCGGACGGGUGAGUAAUGUCUGGGAAACUGCCCGAUGGAGGGGGAUAACUACUGGAAACGGUAGCUAAUACCGCAUAACGUCUUCGGACCAAAGUGGGGGACCUUCGGGCCUCACACCAUCGGAUGUGCCCAGAUGGGAUUAGCUAGUAGGUGGGGUAAUGGCUCACCUAGGCGACGAUCCCUAGCUGGUCUGAGAGGAUGACCAGCCACACUGGAACUGAGACACGGUCCAGGCUCCUACGGGAGGCAGCAGUGGGGAAUAUUGCACAAUGGGCGCAAGCCUGAUGCAGCCAUGCCGCGUGUAUGAAGAAGGCCUUCGGGUUGUAAAGUACUUUCAGCGGGGAGGAAGGCGUUAAGGUUAAUAACCUUGGCGAUUGACGUUACCCGCAGAAGAAGCACCGGCUAACUCCGUGCCAGCCGCCGCGGUAA